rnacentral:rRNA from 1 species
AUUGAACGCUGGCGGCAGGCCUAACACAUGCAAGUCGAGCGGAUGAGUGGAGCUUGCUCCAUGAUUCAGCGGCGGACGGGUGAGUAAUGCCUAGGAAUCUGCCUGGUAGUGGGGGAUAACGUUUCGAAAGGAACGCUAAUACCGCAUACGUCCUACGGGAGAAAGUGGGGGAUCUUCGGACCUCACGCUAUCAGAUGAGCCUAGGUCGGAUUAGCUAGUUGGUGGGGUAAUGGCCCACCAAGGCGACGAUCAGUAACUGGUCUGAGAGGAUGAUCAGUCACACUGGAACUGAGACACGGUCCAGACUCCUACGGGAGGCAGCAGUGGGGAAUAUUGGACAAUGGGCGAAAGCCUGAUCCAGCCAUGCCGCGUGUGUGAAGAAGGUCUUCGGAUUGUAAAGCACUUUAAGUUGGGAGGAAGGGCAGUAAGUUAAUACCUUGCUGUUUUGACGUUACCAACAGAAUAAGCACCGGCUAACUUCGUGCCAGCAGCCGCCGUAACAC